rnacentral:lncRNA from 1 species
AAACCCGUGUCCAUAUUGUGUGUGUGAAGAAGCAUCGAAGCGCGGCAGCCAUGUUCAGCGUGGCAUUUCGGAAGGCUUGUCAGGGGUGGAGAAGCGGGGCGGGUUGCUGUUCUUUCACCUGACACUAAAGCGCCAUGCCGGAAGCACUGAGUCUGAUACGUCGGAACCAGUCUCCACCGUGUGGUUUGGUCUUGAUUUCCACUGGUACUCUGGGGUCUUGGAUAAGUCUCUGGACCUCGCCUUUGUCAUUUGCGAAGUCGAUAGGUUCCAAUAGAGAUUUUCCCAGAAUCAUUCAACUAAAAAUAGAGAACUUUUUUUUUUUGAGAGGAAGGACGGGGGCGCAGUUAAAGAUGUUAAUGUUAAGUCAUCCCUUCUGUGAUUUCGGGACAUUAUCUUUGCAGGCCAUGUGAAGAUGUGCUUGCUUCCUUGUCACCUUCCGCCAUGAUUGUAAGUUUCCUGAGGCCUCCCAGGAAGCAGAAGCCUGUACAGCCCACAGAACCAUGACCUGAUGAAAUCUCUUUUCUUUAUAAAUUACCCAGUCUCAGAGGGGUGGAGCCAAGAUGGCCGAAUAGGAACAGCUCCAGUCUACAUCUACCAGCAUGAGUGACACAGAAGAUGGGUGAUUUCUGCAUUUCCAACUGAGGUACUGGGUUCGUCUCACUGGGGAGUGCUGGACAGUGGGUGCAGGACAGUGGGUGCAGCGCACCGUGCGUGAGCCGAAGCAGGGCGAGGCAUCACCUCACCCAGGAAGUGCAAGGGGUCAGGGAAUUCCCUUUCCUAGUCAAAGAAAGGGGUGACAGAUGGCACCUGGAAAAUCGGGUCACUCCCACCCUAAUACUACGCUUUUCCAUCGGGCUUAGCAAACAGCACAACAGGAGAUUAUAUCCUGCACAUGGCUCGGAGGGUCCUACGCCCAUGGAGAAACUCUAUAAGCCAGAAGAGAGUG